AUGAGUUGGAUAAACAGUGGCCCUGUGGGACAGUUUCCUAAGCAGGAGGCCUCUGUGUUUGCAACUGGUGGAGUCCGAGGGAGCUUAGUGAAGCCUGGGGGGUCCCUGAGACUCUCCUGCACAGCCUCUGGAUUCACCUUCAGUGACUACUACCUAAGUGGAUCCACCAGGCUCGGGGGAAGAGGCUGGAGUGGAACUCAGACAUCAGGUGAUGGUAAUGAUACAGCCUAUGCAGGCUCCGUGAAGGGCCGAUUCACCCUCUUCGGAGACAACAAGAACACGCUGCAUCUGCAAAUGAACAACAUGAGAACCUUGGACACAGCUGUGUAUUACUGCAGGCACAGUGAAGGGACUUGA